GCGAUAGUAGCUCAGUUGGUAGAGCAUCAGCUUCCCAAGCUGAGGGUCGCGGGUUCGAGCCCCGUUUAUCGCUCCA
rnacentral:tRNA from 1 species